UACGAAGGGGGCUAGCGUUGCUCGGAAUCACUGGGCGUAAAGGGUGCGCAGGCGGAUAUGUAAGUCAGUGGUGAAAUCUCCGGGCUUAACCCGGAAACUGCCGUUGAUACUAUAUAUCUUGAAUGCUGUGGAGGUAAGCAGAAUAUGUCAUGUAGCGGUGAAAUGCUUAGAGAUGACAUAGAAUACCUAUUGCGAAGGCAGCUUACUACGCAGAUAUUGACGCUCAUGCACGAAAGCGUGGGGAUCAAACAGG
rnacentral:rRNA from 1 species